UAAGGGGCACCUACCCUGACUACACAUUUGCAUAUUUUUACUUUUUAGGUUUAUUUUCAUAUGGUUACAGGCAAUUGCAUGUUUAUUUGUUGUAUGUUGGAACGAGAUAUCUACAUGUCCUUCAAUCUAAGGAGCCAAAAUUUUUGAUGAGAGGUAAGGUGACCUGAGAAUUCUAUGACGUAACUUGAGAUGUAAAUCCGGCCCUGCAAUGAUUGGAUAAGUGGUAUAAAUAAAGCUUUUGGGUGUUACGGUUAUAAUGUAAUGC